AUCCGGGUUGCGGACAGUGUCUGGUGGGUAGUUUGACUGGGGCGGUCUCCUCCCAAAGAGUAACGGAGGAGCACGAAGGUUGGCUAAUCCUGGUCGGACAUCAGGAGGUUAGUGCAAUGGCAUAAGCCAGCUUGACUGCGAGCGUGACGGCGCGAGCAGGUGCGAAAGCAGGUCAUAGUGAUCCGGUGGUUCUGAAUGGAAGGGCCAUCGCUCAACGGAUAAAAGGUACUCCGGGGAUAACAGGCUGAUACCGCCCAAGAGUUCAUAUCGACGGCGGUGUUUGGCACCUCGAUGUCGGCUCAUCACAUCCUGGGGCUGAAGUAGGUCCCAAGGGUAUGGCUGCGAGCUGGGUUUAGAACGUCGUGAGACAGUCCGGUCCCUAUCUGCCGUGGGCGCUGGAGAAUCGAGGGGGGCUGCUCCUAGUACGAGAGGACCGGAGUGGACGCAUCACUGGUGUUCGGGUUGUCAUGGCAAUGGCACUGCCCGGUAGCUAAAUGCGGAAGAGAUAAGUGCUGAAAGCAUCUAAGCACGAAACUUGCCCCGAAAUGAGUUCUCCCUGAGGCUUUAAGUCUCCUGAAGGAACGUUGAAGACGACGACGUUGAUAGGUCGGGUGUGUAAGCGCAGCGAUGCGUUGAGCUAACCGAUACUAAUGAACCGUGA
rnacentral:rRNA from 1 species